CUCAGACUCAUGAACGGCGAGAUCAUGACCUGAGCCAAAGUCCAAUGCUUAACCAACUGAGCCACUCUGGUGCCCUGUGACUUUUAUAUUUCCAAUCUUUCUCUCACUGUUCCUGCUGUUCUCCCUAGGUAAGCAAACCACCUCGUCCUGCACACGUUUCACAAAUUUCUUCCAUUCCUCUCUACCUGACAUACUUCUUUGAUUGUUCCUUCAUCUCAAAUGCUUUCUUCUUCAUGCCUUGAACUUAGAGUCAACAGAACAAUAAUUGAGUUCCCAUUUGAAUACAUUUUUGCUUGGGUAAAUUAUUAACCUCUUUGAGUGUUGGUUUCUUCACCUCUAUGAGGGGCUGUUUAGGUCUUAGGUCAAAUGAGAUAUUGCAUUUUAAAGCUUUAGAAAAUUCUCUCUAUGGUACUCACUUAUAAAGGAGUCUACCCACAAAGACACCAUGCUCCUUUUAUUCUAUGAACUUUGCUGUGGAAGGUUCUUGAUACUUUUUUUGUGUCAGCUGUUUACUAUUUAUCAUAAGUACACUUGAAGUAUGAGGCAGCACUAACUUUGGGCAAACCAUCUUAAGUAGACUGUAAGCUUCCCAAAGGCAUGCCCACUGUGUAACCAUCUUCCAUAGUGGCUAAUAUAGGCGGUCUUCCAUGGAGGUUUGUAAAUUAACUUAUUUAUCAAUGACAACGUGUAUCUGAGGAAGGAAAGAGAGUUUCAGGCCUAGAUGAUUACAGUUAAAAAAUCCAGGUAAGUUUAGGUUUAUGGUUGAAACAGAAACUUAGAAGCUAAUGAUGAUAUAUAAUGCACAGUGAUCAAAAAAAUCACUGGACAAGGGAACUUUUUAUGGAAUCAAGGGACCUCUCAUCCAAAUAUAUGUAAAAAAUAAAUGGUUGUAGUAACCAGUACAUUAGCCAAGAAGUUCCAGAAAGUCAUCUCCCAGUUAUUUGCUUUCUUCACUUUUUAUUAAGUUAAAGUCAAGUAAAAUAUACCUUUCAAAACAUUUUCAAUUUCCUUAGAAACUUUGAGUAUUAUAUACUCUUUUCUCAAGAAUAAAAUAUUUAAUUAGGAUAUCUGAUUGGAGCUAUGUGUCAAAAUGAUUAGAGUCAGUAGGUUAAUUAUAAAAGGCAAUGUUAUUAAGAAUUAUUAUUUGUUAUGUUCUUAGUGGCUGGAGUUUAUUUUUUUAAGUGUAUUCCAUUAUGCCCCACGGGUAUUUAUAGACCAAACUUCUUAGCAAGUCUGGCUUUCAUGAUUUCACUCCAUGCACUCGGCUUGUACAAGUGGCUAUUGAACACCAGCCAGGAUGAUUCACUUUUUAUCAUACGAUGGAGCUUACUUUCAAUAUGGUUCUAUCUUGAGAUAUCUGUUUUCUGCUACUAGUUAAAUACCAGUGACAUAUAAGGUAGUAAGCAUUCAUUGAACACUUUAAAAUACGUAGUUCGGGACUUUAAUCAGAAAGUUGGGAUCAUGAUGAAAACAUAAACGUGGACCAUAUCACUCCUUUACCUCCCACUGGAAACUCUGAAACAGAUAGGAGGGAGAAAAAGAAAUUGUGGAAGACCUAGAGGAAUGUCCAAUUAGCCUGCUUAUUUCUACUAUAGUUGUAAUUGAUCUCUUUUGAAAACAAUCCAUGGUUUAUGUGUGUCUCUCAACUGAAACUUAGAAGAUGAGAAAAGAUAGGAUAUUUGGAAUGUCAUAUACAGGGAAGCAUUUCUGUCAAACACAUUAUUGAACCUGGAAAAAAAUGAAAUUGAAACAAAGAACACCUGCUACUUUAACUCAUUUAAAAAAAACCAUAAUAUUCUUUACUUGCUGACUGGAAAUAUUGUAUUUUCAGAGAAGAGAAAGUGCUAAUCUAAAUGGGAGAAAAAUGUAAUGAUUCACUAUGCAAUGAUAUGAAAUAAGAAAUAUUUUAAAUUGGGUAUUUUAGUUUGUGGAGGGGUAGGCAUUUUGUAUAGAAAUGGUUUUGCUCAUCAGGUGGUGAAUAUUUCUCACAAAUUGCAGUAAAGAGAAUAAAAUCGGCUUGUCACUAAAGAUUUUUUUUUUAUUGACAUCUUUAGCUUGUCUUCAUGCCAGUAAUUAAAUUGCUAAUUAUGUGUUUCUGUUACUGUGGUCAUGCCUUUAUUACAUAAUUGCUUCAAGUUUUGCUCAAAUCACUAACAAUAUUUACUUAACCUUUUUGUGCAUUAGAUAAAUUUUAAUAUAUAAAAGCUUUGGAACGAGUUCAUUGACUCUGUUUUGAUUAGCAAAAUCAAAGGAAUUCUAACCUUUCUUAUAGUUACAUGGGUUGGGUCAUAUUUUCAAUGAGAUUGCUGAUAAUUAUUAAUUCAAGCAAUAGCAAUCAUUGAAAGACCAAUUUAAAUGGAAGAGAAAAAACACAAAGAAAACUUUUCAAAACCCCAGUGCCCAUUCUAGAAAAAUAAAAUGAUCUUUCUUGAGGUAAUUGGAAAUACAAAAUUAAUAAUUUGAUCCUUACUAUGUGCUCAUAUUUUUCCAAGAAAAUAUUUGACUAAAUUGUGGGUAAUUCAGAUACCAAGCUUCCCCUCCCCUUUUGAAUGUAGGUAUAAUUUUUGACAGUGUUUCAAUGUAUUCAGGAUUUUUUUCUCAUUUGUUUAUUUUAUGCAAACCAUAGGAGACAUUUUUCUCACUGAAGAUUGCCUCUUUAUUUUAUUUUGAAAUAUUUGUAUAUUUGUUUCAUUAAAUGAGAUAAUGCUUUUUCUUAUUAACAUAAUUUCCAGUACAUUAAACAUAUUUCUCCACAGACAGAAGAGAGGAAUCAAAUUAAAUGACAGCUAAAUCACUUGCAGCAAUUUCAACUGUUAAAAGAAAUAAGUGUCUCUGUUUUCUUUGUGAUCACAAGAUGUGCUGUAAAGGGAAAUGAAAUGCUAAAGAAAGAAGGGAAAACAUAAAGAAAUAAUGACUGACUUAUUGCAGUAAUACCAUGGAGAGAAGAAAAAUUCACUACAAAUAAAAGGAAAAGUAAUAUAGUGGAUUUGAAAGUUACCAAAAUUCAUUUCUUAUUGAUGAGUUCAGUGGAAGCCUAAUACUAAGUAAACUGAUGAAAAAAAAAAUCAAUGCAAUAAACUAUGAAUGAUGAAAGUUGAAAUAAAUACUUUGCGUAUGGAGGACCAUUAUUCUAAAUGUCUUUAAUUUUUUAAUAAUUCAUGUCUUUAUGUUUAUAAAAAAGGAGGAAUUAUUGCUUGGUAGACUUGAAAUGCAUGUAAAAAGCAUCUACUAGAAGCCCAUAUUUAGUAAUAAGUCCAAUGAUAUUGGCGACCUUAUGAUUUUACUAUCAUAUUCUGACUUUGACAAAAGUACGUUGGGGGGAGGUGAACCUGACUUUUAAAAAUGGUGCUGACAAAUGAUCCUGGUGCAUAUUUUACUCUGUCACAGAUAAACUACUUUCCAAAAAGACAAUUAAUUUUUGGACCAUGGAAAGAACACAACUCAGAAUAUGUAUGUAUAUUUGUAUAUAGUAUAUGCUUAUGAAUAUCCUGGGGGACAGCAGUAGCAGUUUUGGCAAAAUUCAGCACUGCCACACACAUGCGUAUGCAUACAUAUCUAUAUCUAUAUCUGUAUCUAUCUCUAUAUAUCUAUAUCUAUAUCAUCUAUAUCUAUAUCUAUCUAAUCUAUCAAUAUCUAUCUAUCUAUCUAUCUAUCUAUCUAUCUAUCUAUAUCUAUAUGUGUGUGUGUAUUUUUUUUAUGCUGGUAAGGUUGUUAAUUUGUUCAAAUCAAGCAUACAGCCCACCUGGUUCUCUGUAUUUGUAGGUGGGCUUAUGCAUUCAUUUUCUCUCUUCACACAUCAUUAAAAAAUAACUAGUUAAUUUAAUCAGUUCAAUCAGAAGGCAGUCAAUUCAGUAUGGGAAAAAAAAGUCACUUGAGUCACUUUUACUGAAUUGAAUCUGUCUGCAUUAACCUAAUACAGUUGAUCUUGAAACCCUCGUUACUCAAAUUUUUGUCUCUCUCCCUUUCAUGUCCUCCAGUCAGUUUGUACCCCAACCCUUCACCCUCUAUCUUUCCCUUUGCCCUGCCACCCCUCCCUUUUGGCUUCUUUUCUCCUUUCCUCCAACAUGUUGGGAGACCUUAUCCAUCUGCUCCCUCUUCCUGUUCACCCUCCUCUUUCCCCCUCCACCACCACACACAGUUUCCUCUGCCCCACUGGAAAAAAACAAAAAACAAAAAAACCACCUAAAGCUGGUCCUUCCUUCCUGCCUUCCUUCCUUUCCUCCAUCCUUUCUUUCUUUCCUUCUUUUCUUUCUUUUUCUUUCUCUUUCUUUCUUUCUUUCUUUCUUUCUUUCUUCUUUCUUUCAUUACAGAGAUUUUGAAACUAUUGCUUUAUUGAAAACAUCUGACUGCCAGUAUAGAAUAUGACUCUUAAGGUAAUGUGGUUUUUCCACUUUAGAGACCCCUUCAUACUAGAAGUUCUUGGGUCCCCACUCAGUAUAAACUUUAAGACCAUCUCUGGGAUUAUUUUCUUCUCAGUAUGAUACCUUGUGGGUGUGUGGGUGUGAGCUGCAAGUCGCACAAUUUUCUAAGGAGGAGGGAAGGGCUGACAUGCAAGGGAGGGGAAGGAGGCAAUGUUAAUGUUCAGGACUCCUUUUGUGUGCCCACUUUGGAAAUACUUCUCCUUAUCUUUCAUUCAGAAUGCAGGGGAUAAGGCAAAAGUGCAGGCCACAACUGAGAGAUUUUGAAUUAUGCAUUAAGCUGAUAAUGCCCCAGAAUGCAAUCUUAUGUCAAUAAAUAACUAGGCUGGUAGGAGGAAGGAGGUCACUUUACUUGUGUGGAGGGCACCACAUAGGGAGAGAAUAGAGGAAACCUAGGUGAAGGGUGAGAGGGAGUUCACAUACUUUAGCUUGCUCUGAUGAAGAAGUAAGAAGAGUAAGUUAAUAUUGAAAUUAUUUCCGAAUGCUUAUUUGCUUUUAAAUUGAUUUAACCAAGAUAAAAGACUCUCCAGUGUGGGCCCUAUGUGCCCAAGUUUGCAUUUGGGGCAGGGUUAGCCCUUCUGUGGAACCUUAUGCAAAGAAAUUCUGUCUAGGGGAGAAAUUAAUUUGAAUCCUUUAAUGGGACCUAUAAACUCUUUAAAAAAGCAAGAUUUUUCAUGAUGAAAUUUGGCAAAAUACAUAAUAGGACACUCAGGGUUUUGUUUCACUGGGUAUCCUUCCCUUAUUAAUAUGUAGUAGAAAUGUGGUAGAAGUUAAGCUAGUGGAAGGAGCAGAAGGAUUAAAAGAAUGCUAUAAAUUACCUCCCUGGCCCAUGAUACAGCACUGCCCAAUGCUGAUGAAAACUAAGUCUUUAAUCUUUGCAUUGCUUCUCCUGCUUUAGUCAGAUGCAUCAAUGAAUGUGACCAUUUUCUAGUAUGAGAAAUUAAUCGUGGUGCAAGGACACACACACACACACACACACACACACACGCACAAUUUAAAAACAUAUUUAGUUUAUUUACCAAGAAAAUGGAAAAUGUGCAGGGUGGAGACACUGGCCGAUUAACAUCUGAAUUUUUGCCUCUUCUUUUCUCACACACAAAAAAAGAGAAGAAAUUACACAUAUAUUUCAUCAUUUUCCUACUUUUAGACAGCAAUUUGAAGCCUCUGGUUCUGCAAUCAGAAGCCUGUGCUUAGACUCUGCAGCAGUGAAUGCGUUUGGUCAAUUCUAUAUGCACACAUGGAUAUAUACACACCAACAAAUUAAAAAUGAAUCUGGGAAGACACCCCGCUCCUUAGAGAGUCAUAUCAAGCAGUGUUUAAAUUAAAUAAUUUGCAGAGUAUGGGGAAUAAAGCCUUUGUAGCAGUAUCUGGAGGUUAUCUUCCCUUGGGAAAUUCCUGUCAUUUAGUCCAAUCUGGUGCAUGCCAGUGAGACACACAUUCAUGCAUACACACACUGGUAGAUAGAUUUUAUUUCAUAUCUAAAUUAUAUUUAUUUCUUGGGGUUAUCUGCCAUUUUGUGUUCAUGUCCAGCCAAAAAAGAAGUGAACCUCUUGUGAAGGGUUUAGGUCACUAAGAUCAAAACAAAGGAGAGGAAAGGUUGUUAGUGAGUAGAAAUAAGGGAAGGCUUACUUCUCCUGGCAUAAAGCCAGUUAUCCCACAGCUCCUGGGGGAGCAUGGCUGUGAUCGGGAGUAUGUUUCAGUUCAAGUCAGUGUUUGAUUUUGCUCCCAGCCCAUUGACUGAUGGCAAGCAAAGAGGAGACAUGGCUGUGAUGAGGUAAUGUGAGUGGGUAAACCACACGUAGCAGAAAUUAGUUGAUUUCUUGCUACUUGUUCUACUCAACCAAUAUGAAAUCUGAACUGUAUGUUAAGUAGAAGUUUUCCGGUUAGAACCACAUGCCAUGUUUCUAUUUAACUCAUUUCUGUAUCGUUGGACGUAUUCAUAGCCUAAUCAGCACACCUGUCCUGUGGAGAACUCAAGGCCAAUCACAAUAGGGAUGGUGAAAGAUGUUAAGAGGAGGUGGGAGAGAAAGAAAGAGAGAGAAAGAAGGUACCUAACUAUGUUAUCUAUGUAUAGGGAAUUUUUAAAAUCCUGGGUAUGAAAAUAGAGGUAUUUUCAAGAGCAAAUAGUUAUUUUCCUCAGGGCUAAGAUUAUCUUUGUACCCCUUAGACUCCCACUUUAAUCCCUUAAAAAAAUUCUUAUAAAUUACUAGUAGCCUAUAUAGAAACCAUGAGUGAGGGCAAAAUUCCUGGUGACUCCUGCAUUCUGGCUCCCCUCUGUUUCUUUGACAAAAUACUGGCGUUAUUUUUCUAGGACUGCCAUAACAAAAUGCCAGACUGGGUGGCCUAAAUAACAAAGACAUAUUUUCUCACAAUUUUGGAGGCUGGAAGUCUGAGAGGGAAGUUGGUUAGCAGGGUUGAUUUUUUCUGAGACCUCUCUCAUUGGUGUGCAAAUCUCCAUCUUCUCCCUGUGUCUUCAUACGGUUGUCCUUCUGCAUGUGCAUGUGUCUGGUGUCCCUUUGUGUCUUCCUAUAAGGACACCAGUCCCGCAUUUCCUUAAAGACAUUAUCUCCAAAUAUGAUUACAUUCUGAGGGGGUUAGGACUUUAACAUAUGAAUUUGGGAGUAUGUUCAGCCUAUAACAACUGGUCUUCCAAAAUAUUCGGUAGAAUGAUAAUUUUCCCAUGCAUUUAAUCUAGCUUACUUAGAGAUUCAUUUCCCUAACUUUCAUUCUCUUCUGCAUGUUUAUUUAGAACUGAUUGAAGGUAAUUUAUUACGAUUAAUGUAGGUGGUUGUGUUUUGUUAUCUUGAGAAGUGAAGGUUGGGGAAAGAGAAAAAAGCUUAUUUAAGACAACAAACAAACCUUGUCUGAAUUUUUUAAAAAGAGGAAGUCAUCUCUUUUUCCUACUAGAACAAAAUGGCAGCAGGCAGACAGUUUUAUCACGGAGACUAAAAGAACAGGUUUUCGAGUCAGCUGCACACGCGUGCUAACUCUGACCUUGAGCAAGUUGCUCAGCCACACUGUUCCCCUGAUUGAUUCUGCCUCUCUAUACUGUGGAUAGAAGUAGAACAGUUUCAGAGGUUGCUGGGAGGAUUAACUGAGAUGAUAUGUGUAAAGUGCAUGGCAUAUUGCCUAACUCACAGUAAAUGCUUAUUAUGGUCUGAAUGUUUAUGUCCUUCUAAAAUUCAUACGUUGAAGCCCUAACCCCGAUGUUAUGGUAUUUGGAGGUGGGACCUUUGGGAAGUAAUUACGUUUCGAUUAGAUCAUGAGAGUGAGACUCUUGUGCUAGGGUUAGUGCCCUUACAAGAAGAGAAAAAGAUUUCUCUCCCUUUGGGGGCACUGCCAACGAAAGACAGACAGAAGGCAGCUAUCUGCAAGCCAGGAAGAGGGCCUCACCAAAUACUGACUCUGCCCACACCUUGAUUUUGAACUUCCCAGCCUCCAGAACUAUGAGAAAUAAGUUUCUGUUGAUUAGCCACCCUGUCUAUAAUAUGUUGUUACAGCAGCCAUCGCAGACUAAGAGAGUGCUUAAUAAAUACUUACCGAACGAUAAUAAUAAUCACCACAGAUACUUACAGAAUGCUGUACUGUUCACGGGUCUUGACAAGAUAAUAUACCCUUUCUGAAUUUCCUCUGAUUUUAGAUUGUUAGAGGUGGAGCUAGGAACAAGUUCUUUUUCUGUUAGUUUAAGUGGACUUUGAUCGAGAGCUGGACUUACAAAGUAUAGGAAAAGGACAAAUAGGCUUUAGUGUUACCUUCUGUCCUCCAGUGAUCCAAAGAUCCUUAGUCAAAAAGUAGAGCAGUGAGUCAGAGGGACAGUGGAAAAGAGGGGCUGGGGUCUUCUCACAGCCUGAGUGUCACCAGGAGCCUGGCUUGUCCUCCUCUGGAGAAUCUCAGCCUAUUUUUUCAGCAUAAGUGGCACACACCAGGUGUGUGUCCUCUGAGCUCUCAGAGGGACAAGCCACCACACCCUCUCCUUGUCCACUGGGCACAGUGGCCCAGCCUGAGUCUGGGAGUCCCAGACACAUCAGGGACCACAGGACACUUAGGACUGGCUGCGAGGCAGAGGUUACCUACAGUUCUUUGUAAAAGGUGUCAUUGUGUGCCAAACACGGUCUUACGAUUAAGUGAAGUUUUGCCAGCGAUACUCAAAAUGCUGUACAGUAAUCAACUGGCAUCAGCCAGCACUUUACUCUCAAGGCCCUCAGGGCUCAACUACUUUAGAAAUAGUCUGGUAACUAGGGAAAUAUCCAUUGUUUUAAAGUUGCAUUUCCUUAAGGAGCCUAUGGUCUCAAAAAGGGGAUUGUCCCAUGAAAAGCUACUUUAAAAUACAGUGCUUAGUUUUGAGAGAAAUCUUGAGAAGUAGAAAGACAAUUAGAAUUGAAUACAAAAACAAGGUGUUGGAGCUAUGUUAAAAUAAUCUACUAAUAGCUGAUGUUUAUUGAGCAUUUUCCUGGGAGACACCAUGCUAGGCUCUUUAUAUAUACAUAUAUUUUACCUUAUUUAAUCUUCUCCAUAAUCCUAUGAGAUAGGUAUAUGAUCUCUAGUUAAUAGACAAAUAAUGAACUAAAAUAGGAUUGCCAGGAUUCAAACCCAUCUAUUUGGGAUAUUUAUCUGGGCUCCAUUGCAACCAAUGGCAGUGGUACCUGUAUUUAGAUGAUGAUAGGAAUCACCUGGAGCUUCUGAAAACAAAACAAAACACUUUAAUACUGUACCUAAUUGUAAAAAUAUGAAAAUAUAACAUGAGAUGAUUUGUAUAAUUGUCAGUUGAGAAAAACUAUUCUAAGGAACAGACAGACAAUCUCUGUAUAUUUGAAUUAUAUACAAAGUUAAAAGUCAAGCAGAGAGCUUUUAGAAAGUAGUAAGAAAAAGAUCAAACAAUACAAAAAUGGGUAUAGAAUAUAAACAGGAAGUUCAUGGAAGAAAUGAGAAUGACUAAUAAGCAUAUGAAAGGAAGCUGAAAAUAAAAAUAAGAUGUUCUUUUUAAUAUGUUAAAUUGGUAAACUUUUUAAUUAUGAAAAAUAUUUAGCAUAAGUGAGUUGUGGAGAAAUGGGCCCUUUUGUACGUUUUGUAGGUAAGAGUAGAACAUGAUACAACUUUUUGGAAGGGCAAUUUUUCAGUAUCUGUUAAAAUUUUUAAUUCACAUAUGUUUUAUACAAAAAUUCCAGUUCUAGGAAUCUAUACUGCAAAAAAAAGAAAAACCAUGUAAAUGAAGAUACAGUAUAAGGAUGCCCAUAGAAACGUUUUAUUUUGCAUGUUUAAAACCAUCAUAUAAGUUAGGACAAUGGUAAAAUCAAGGUAAAGGCUAAAAUAUUUAUGAUUAUAUAUACUAUGGAAUACUACACAGCCAUUAAAAAUAAUAAGAAAAGUAGAUAAUUUUAGAUAGAUCUAGAUAUAAAUCAGAAUAACAUGAAGUGAAAAAGUCCAUUUGCAGAACAGUAUGUGUAGUCUAAUUUUGAUUAUGAAAAGUGCAUACACAAAUAAAAUAAAAGUGAAUAUGUAAAGAAACUUAAAGACACAUCUAUAUUUAAUAGCAAUUAACUCUGAUGGAUAGCUGUUGAAGGCAUAGCAAGAACAUUCUUUCAUAUUCUUAUUCGUAUUGAUAUGGAGUGUGUUGAUUUUUGGCCAUAAACAUAUAUAUCUUUCAUUUAAACUUUUAUAAAGUGACCCCCUGAGUGAUUGAAAAUAUUAUUGACUCUAGAAAAUAUUAUUGACUUUUAUAUCGAUAAAUAAAAAUAUCUGCAUGGAUAAAAAGGUGGGCUUAGACAGUGGCUUUUUAGGUGCUAAGUUUUCUUUCUGCUUUUCAUAUUUUAUUUGCCAGAUAUUCUAUAGUGAGUACUAUUGCUCCACCCAAAAUGUGUUGAAAACAAAAUCCCAAAGACUGAGAUCCAGGGGUCAGCAUUUUAUGAAGCUCUUGGGAUAAGUCUGGCAGUUAGUUGGGUUUGAGAGUAACUGACAAAGGCUUCACAUCUCUAAAGGAUUUAAAGACAACAAGAAGCUUAGAAUUUGAAUAUGCCUAGAAAGAGUGAUUUCACUUAAAUUUUGCUUGAAGAUAAAUUCUAGAGAAGUUAAUUGUUUCCUUCCUAUUCAUGAAUACUGAUUCAGCACUCCUUUUUGGCUUCCAGAUUCUCAAUCUACUGUGGUGAUGCUAUUACUUUGAAUCCUCGUAAAAGGAGAAGACCGAGACCUGGCUCAUGAAGUGGUAUUGAUUUUCUGAGUUCCUGCUCGAGUUGCCAAAGAUACAACACUGUUGUUAAGGAGAGGAGAUGCCUUGGCCUUCAAUAUCACAGGAGGGUUCCUCGGACUUACCAAUUUGGGCUUCUUCCAGUGCUAAAAAACGAUUACAAAUAUGAAACAGAUUUUACUACUGGACUUGAAUACCAUAUUAAAAACAAGAAGAUCAUCAAAAUAAUUGAAAAAGAUCCUCACCAAAGAAUAGAUACAAUGUGAAUGGCAAGAUAUCAAGGAGGUUUUGGUAUUUGGUCUGACACAUAACAGACCCUGAAAUGUUGGUGGAGUGAAUGAGGAAUCUCUCACGCUGCAUCCUGGGAACUAUACUUAGACAGCAAUGCAAUGUGUGUGAGCCCUGGAAUCCUGCUCCAUAUGGAAAUUUCAGAAUUUGUUGAUUGUGGACAAUAAACAGAGUCCUCCAGCUUUGUGCUUUUAUCCUGGUGGUGGCCCUCAAGAAUAAGCCAAGCGUCCGGUUUCAUCUCAAUGCAUUUUCGUCUUAAAGAGCAUAGAGCAUACUGUUUUAAGAUCCUGAAUGCUGAGAGUGGCCUCUUCCUUCUUCGCCAUGUCCUGAACUCCGUUUGCCACCUCCUGCUAUUCCUGGACAUGAGGAAUCUGGAAGAAUACGCCGUAUCUGGAACGCCAAGCAAGCCCUUAACAAAUAUGUGUUGAAGCCCUUUGAAUGAACUCCAAGUGCCUUUCCAAGAAAAAAAAAAGGAGAAGAAGGCACUUUCAACAAGUGGACACACUGCUUCAAUCAGUAGAUUUUUGCUUUUCUCUUUCCUGGAACGAUUGCUGUUUUUUUGCUUCCUUGCCAUUUCAACAUGUUCCUUGAGAUUGUGGUAAGGUAGUGAGCUCUGAGCAUGUGACAAGCAUUAGAAGCAUUCAAAUGGAGAUGCAUCUUCCAGAUAAACAGGAGCCCAGGAGCUGAUCUCCAUGCAGAAGAUGAUGAGUUGAGAUCCUGCCCAGGAAUAAGUGUCGGACCAGCUGCCUGGAGUCCGACGUUAGCCGGAGCGAGCCUAAUUACCAGUAGGCAAGAGGGCCCGAUGCAACAACGUGCUACACACACGGCCUUCCUCUCUGCUCUCAUUCGCUUCUGGUUUCAGAGGAGCCUGGAAUUUGGUUGGAGGCAAACAAUUGCGUUCCCUCUGCUCGAUAUGCUAGGAUGAAAUAUGAUUGCAUUUCCCCCAGGGAACCUCCAGUUGAAAAGGGCCAGUCUGGAAAAGAGUGUGCCAAUGAUCAAAGUGGCCACAUAUGAUGGUCCCAGACUGAUGCCUGUGUUCCCACUGAAGGAGACUUUCUUCCCGGGAUGAGAUCCAGCCUCCCCUCUAAAGUUCUUAGCACGCCAGGGUGAAGAAGUUCUGGAAGUGUUCUGUGAAGUUGCAUCUUGAAGAAUGAGGAACGCAGAGGGGCCUCUCAGACCACAGAGGAUGGCAGUGCUGGGAAUGACGUCUGGAACUGGUCAUUGGCACCCAAGGGUGGAGAGAGCUGGAAUCCACACCACCAUUCCCUUCUUUGUGCAUGUUGAGACCUCCUGUGACUUCAGAAUCUUUGUCAGCAUAGUGUUACAAGAAGCAGUUAAUUGAGGUUGGCCAGAGCAACAAUGCUUCUUUGGCACUCUUGGUAUUUAUCGUAGGAGAGUAUGGUAAAUAGUGCUGGAAGUAGAAUGUGCCACUUUCUGGAUUAUUUUCUUCUAGUUGAUGAGUAGGAUCUCUUCCAAACCUUGGGAAAGACUUGUGCUUUAUAGAUAUUUUUUUUCUUCCUAAUUAUAUUCCACUACCAGCUUUUCAGCCUGUUUACAUGGGUAUGUAAAAAUACAGAACUAGCUUUCAUUUAAAGCUAGAAAAAAAAAAAAACAAAAAGAAAAACAUAAAAGUAAAAUACGUACUAUAGGAUCUUCAGAGCUCCUGCCAGUGGACCUCAAACUUGGAUUUCAGUUUUUUAGCUCUCUACAAAGAAUGGCCUUCACAAGCCCAUCCAAUGACUGCAACAACAAAGACAGGGCCCCACAAUACUUGAGGUCAUCGAGGGGCAUCAUGGCACAUUUGGGGCCACCUUAACUUCGUCUCUGCGCUCAGACUGUCCUUGAGUAAUCACUGAACUCCCUUUCUGUCCCGUGGGAAAUGACACCUUAACGCCUUCUUUCCAAAUAGGAAACUUCCACCUUCAUGGAAGCGAUAUCAAUUCUACUCAAGGUAAAUUCUAUAAUUUUUCAAAAGUCUUUUGUUUAAUAUGGAAACUUCAAGCAGAGGACCCAGGGCAUUUUCUUUCAUCAAUGUGAUUCUAAUUUUAUCAGAGCACUAAAAAGAAAUCUACUUGGCUUUUUCUUGUCCAGUACUCCACUUGCUCUGAAGCACAUUCAAAAGCCACCUCUCUGAUCUGAAGACGUCUCCGCAGAAUUAUGUAAUUGGACCAACGGUUGCGGGUUCCCCACACUCUUGCUACUUCGCAUUAUUGCAGAGCAGACUACUGUUUUGCAGACCUUCCUUAUUGCGUAAAUGGCUACAUUAUCACUGUGUACACAUUAGGACAAGCAAAUGGGCCCCUUAAGGCAAAUAAGGGUUCAAAUAACCCAGACAAGGUAGCCCAACUGAAUUGAGGAUUCACCCUUGUUACAACCUCAUUGCUUUAUGGCACAUGAACUAGUGGAAGGGACAGACUGCUUCAAGUGUGUUUCUACUGAUCCUGCUGGCAAAUCACAGCUUUAUUACAGUAAUGAGCCUGACCAUAUUUCUGUGCUUAUGCAUAUUAGGCACCAAAUGUAUUUUCCGGCCUGCCAGCCUGUGGUAGUAACUAACAUGAGCAAUUUGUCCUGGGUUGCAGUGUGUGUGCAUGCAUUAGGUAUGAGCAUGUUAGUUGCUUUGGGGUAUAAAAUACUACAUGUUUCAUCAUGCGUAUUUUUAUAUGCACAACUUAACUGUACGCAAAAUAGCUUGGCAAUUAACCAACACAACUUAUUAGUUUACUACAAGAUUAUUGCAUAAAUAUGUGAACUGGGGACAGCCACAAUUUCAAUUUGGCAAUAUUAAAAAUUUUGUUGGAUUAUUAACUAUCUGAAGAAAUAUCUCCCCCCUCUAUGGUAUAAGUGUUAAGGUUCUUUAAAAAAAUAUCUCGAUUCUUCUCCCAUUUUCAUUUCCAUAAAUAACCCUGAACGGGACCCUUUUCGGGAGGCUGUGGGAUUUGAGCCGGUGAAUUCCCCCAUACUCAUUGUGAGCUGACAUUUGGCCUUUGACCCCGUCAGCUUUCAGGCGAAGGUGAAUGAUCAUUAUUACGAUUUCUUCCUCAGGAUCACAUUUUAUGUAUGCCAGUUAUUGGGUCCAGGAUUAUUAAAAAGGAACAUCAGCAUACUUCAGCUCAACCGCUAAGAACAGUUAUAUGUUUCGUCUUUCUGUUGACCACUGGGAUCGCAGAGCUCAGUGCUGUUGGCUUGUGUGACUGCCUUGGAGGCGUACAGGACUUACUCCAAAAGUGCAGACACACGGAACCACCUCUCCCUGAACUCUUAAUUAAAAUGAACUCUUUCUCCCGCUUCGCUGCAAAACAAAGAAACGAACAAAACAUUAAGUACGGAAUACAGGAUUGGUACAAAAUAAAGGGUUAGCCUGGUGGGAGGCUGCUGCCAGGGGAAUGGCUGCUCUUGCUACUUCCGCACGUGUCACAUGUCGUAAGGUGUCAGAGAAUUACUUUUUUCCUCCAUUCAGGUUGGAUUUAUGUAAAUGACUGCACAGGACAGGUGCCUUUAUUUAGUUGCUACUAAAGCCGGAAUCAUGUUGUACAAGAGCUGAUAACAUGAAAUAACACGAAAUAAGUGGGCUUAUCCCUUCUGAAGCUUGUUUUACAGUACUGGUAUUUCUCUUUAGCAAAUCCUGCUGCGUCUUUAAGUAAUACGAUAAAACAACAUAAAUGUCUUUGUGGCUAAAACUGAUUGUUUCAGGAGGAACAUGGCUGUUUUAUUCUUGUCUUUUAUCUCCUCUACACUGAAUUUUUGAAAACAUGACCAGCUCCCUGGCCUGUAUGUAUAUAAAUAGGCUAUUUGCGUAGAGACCCCACAAUUAUUCAUGCAUCAAAGAGAGGGAGAAUGGGAGGGAACCCCAUGCUGAUAAUAGCAGCACCCCAAAUCAAUAUAAAACCAAGACCGAAAUGUGCCUUUUGCAGUCCUGUCACAGAUUAAUAUGGUUCAUGAUAGAUACUUAGUUCUCUGACAGUUUCCCCUGCACCUUCACUGGGAAGUUGAUAGAAAUUACUCCAGCUGAAUGCUUAAAGCAGAUGUUAUCCCAUUAAUUAGCUCUGGACCCGGGUACACUCGAGACUUUCCCAUUUUCAGGCCGAAAGGAAUUGGUCCCAGUGAGCGUGCUCUAUAUCCACAUUUAGUAUCAUCUCAUAAACAGCAGUGAAAACACAGCAGGCCCUUGAUGAAGAUCCAUUAGCUUAUUUCUAAUUUAAAGUUAUGUUGCUUAACCUUAAUGUAAUUGGUCACCGGUGGCCAACUGUUUGUAUAGUGUGUUGAUGACCAAAGAGAUGUAAUAAAUUAUAAAACUCUCUGCUUAAAUGGAGGGAACGACUGUUUUGUUAAAAGCUUUGCAUGUAAUAAUGGUAAAAUAAUUACACCUCAAGCCGAAUAACUGUGAAGCUGUUAAUACUAACAACAGAGUUGUUCUCAGGAUAGCUCGGUUCAUCCCCAUUUAAAACCAGUACGUGAACCUGGCUCUUGUAUUUAGCAAAAGAGUAACUUGGAAAGUUCAGUCUCACCCUGAUUAAAAUAAAUGGGUAAGUCGUCCUGUUGUCUUAGUUGGGAAUGGUGGUGAUGGGUAGUAGGGUGGUGGGGUGAAUUAAAAUAACCAAUUGCUAUGGUUAACUAGGAGACAAAAAGCACAAACCGGUUCGUAGUCACUGCCAGACACGUCUUUAAAGAAGACUUGAUUAGCUGGUGGAAAAACUGGGAUAAUCAUCAAAUAUGAAAGUAAUUGACACAACUUUAAUGUUUAAUAAUGAAUAGCCCGCCAGAGGCAAAAUAAAGGGAAACGGUCUUCUUUUCUCAGAACAAGUUCUGACUUAAAAUUUCUUAGGCCAAAUACAGAGAGCGAUUGCUCGAGGUUUGUGAACUACAAUUCCAAGAUUAUAAUUAAAGUUAUAAAUAUGGUUAAAAUGAAAUCACACGAUUAACAAUAUUCAAUCUAUCAGGGGUAAUGAUAUUCAUUCCAUAGGUUUUCUGUAUGUCACUGUGAAAAAUCUAGUCCCCCCUCUCCCUGUUAAAGGCUUGUGACUUAUUUUGAAAUGCAAAAGUGAAAUAAACAGAGUCGUGCUUCUGUCUGGAUAUGCGCUUUUUUUUUUUUUUUUUUCUGUCCUGGUUGGACUGUGUUCACUAGCUUCGCUGUAACAAGUAAGAAAAGUAAAGUUUUUGCUUUUCUCGAAA